UCGCUAGUAAUCGCGCAUCAGCCAUGGCGCGGUGAAUACGUUCCCGGGCCUUGUACACACCGCCCGUCAAGCCAUGGAAGCCGGGAGUGCCUGAAGUGUGCAACCGCAAGGAGCGCCCUAAGGUAAAACUGGUGACUGGGGCUAAGUCGUAACAAGGUAUC
rnacentral:rRNA from 1 species